GUUUCAAGUUGACGAAUUGAAUUUGAAUGGAUUUGUAUUCGAAUUAUGAUCUUGACUUAUUGGAGUUACUACUUAAAUUUUUUUUCUUAUCCCAAUCUCUUCUUUGUACAUCUACAAUUUUUGUUAUUUAUAAAAAGAGGAGAUUUGAUAAUAUGGAUGAAUGCUGAAUUUUCCUUUAAGAUGAACUCUGCGUAAAUAUUUUAGCAUACUUAAUUUUGAAUGAUAAAA
rnacentral:lncRNA from 1 species